CGCUAACGUGACAGCGCUUCCGGUUCGGGUGCCGGCGGUGCCGCCGCUCCCUCGGCGGGCGGAGUGUGGGGCUCGGGCACCCGGCGGCAUCGGGGCGGGCGCUGGGGCCGCGCGGCGCUGCCGCUGCUGCUCCGGGCUGCUGCCGGGGCUCCCGUGCCGCCGGCCGUGCGCGGGAGGGCGGUGCGGGGAUUUCCCCGCGCUGAGGGGAACCGGCCCCGGCGCCUCCCGAACCCGCCGCUCCGGCGCUGCCAGGGAGUUUGUGAUCAAUUAAAAAGAUGCCUUGUAUUCUCGGAGUGGUGCAUUCUACCUCUGCUGUUUUUCCUGCUAGUCUGGAUCCUCUGCUUAGAUUUUUUUUUUCUUCCUAUUUUAGAUGCCCUGGCUGUGGUGGAUGUCCCGGUUGAGGGCAGUGAUGGCUUUCAUGAAGAAAUCUUUAAAUGAAGACGGGAUUACCCAAACCUUUCCCUUCCCUGCUGCACUAGAAGCCAGGAAUAUCCUGUUGCUUCAGUCUGAAAACGGAACAGUUUAAAAAUCACGAGGAGGUGAGCAAAGAACCUGCUGUGCCCCUGGAUUCUGCAUUUACCACUUUGCUAAAGAGAGCCUAUGAGAGAGGAAGCAAUACCCUACUGGAAGGUGGUGUUCAGACAAAAUUGGCUUCCUGGCUCCCACCUGACCAGCUUUUGUUGGGAGUAAAGCAUGUGCUGUUAUACCUGAAAUCCACAGUGGAGAACUUCAGCAGGCUUGGUAAAACUUUGGGUCCUCAGCUUGUUGAUCUCUGUGUGGACCUGCUGAGCAUCUUGUUGUGCCGGGACAAUGAAAUAAAGCUGGAGCAGCAGCAGAAGCAGGAGGAGCAUCAGGCUGAUGGGAUCUCUUCAUGGAUGAGGAGCCUCUGAUGACAGAAGUGUCUUCAAAUGACAAGACCCUGGAGGAUGCACUCACCUUGAUUUUCAGACAUCCUGCACUGGAGAGCUGGUUCCUGGCGUUGGAGCUGCGCUCUAUUCCUCAG